AACAGAUGUUUAUAUGCACAUGUAUCUAUUAAAACUUUCAGUUAUCUUGGGGUUAUUAUUUGAAAUUACUCAUAACUGUAACCAAAUAAUCAAAUGAGAAUUUUUUUACAGACUAUGUUUGAUGAUUUCAGAUGAGCCACCGGUCAAAAUGUAUCAGAAAGAUCAUGGAGUUCCAAGCCAGAUCCGAACUUCCUCCCAUCGGACAAACAGGUCGCACCAAACUGAAAGCAAACACAAAAACGGUCAGAGACUUAUCCUUGGGGAUUCCCUCUCCCGGGAAAUUAGAGGAAUUCCCAACUGCAAAGUACUUGGCCAUCCUGGAG